rnacentral:rRNA from 1 species
CCUUGAAAUACCACCCUUUAAUGUUUGAUGUUCUAACGUGGACCCGUUACCCGGGUUGCGGACAGUGUCUGGUGGGUAGUUUGACUGGGGCGGUCUCCUCCUAAAGAGUAACGGAGGAGCACGAAGGUUGGCUAAUCCUGGUCGGACAUCAGGAGGUUAGUGCAAUGGCAUAAGCCAGCUUGACUGCGAGCGUGACGGCGCGAGCAGGUGCGAAAGCAGGUCAUAGUGAUCCGGUGGUUCUGAAUGGAAGGGCCAUCGCUCAACGGAUAAAAGGUACUCCGGGGAUAACAGGCUGAUACCGCCCAAGAGUUCAUAUCGACGGCGGUGUUUGGCACCUCGAUGUCGGCUCAUCACAUCCUGGGGCUGAAGUAGGUCCCAAGGGUAUGGCUGUUCGCCAUUUAAAGUGGUACGCGAGCUGGGUUUAGAACGUCGUGAGACAGUUCGGUCCCUAUCUGCCGUGGGCGCUGGAGAACUGAGGGGGGCUGCUCCUAGUACGAGAGGACCGGAGUGGACGCAUCACUGGUGUUCGGGUUGUCAUGCCAAUGGCACUGCCCGGUAGCUAAAUGCGGAAGAGAUAAGUGCUGAAAGCAUCUAAGCACGAAACUUGCCCCGAG